AUGAACGCUGGCGGCGUGCCUAACACAUGCAAGUCGAACGAUGAAACCGCCCUCGGGCGGACAUGAAGUGGCGAACGGGUGAGUAACACGUGACCGACCUGCCCCCCGCCCAGGGACAGCCCCCCGAAAGGGGGAUUAAUACCUGGUACUCCGGAAGCGGCGCAUGCCGCCCCCGGGAAAGCUCUGGCGGCGGGGGAUGGGGUCGCGGCCCAUCAGGUAGACGGCGGGGUAGAGGCCCACCGUGCCGACGACGGGUAGCCGGGUUGAGAGACCGACCGGCCACAUUGGGACUGAGAUACGGCCCAGACUCCUACGGGAGGCAGCAGUGGGGAAUUUUGCGCAAUGGGGGCAACCCUGACGCAGCAACGCCGCGUGCGGGACGAAGGCGUCCGCGUCGUAAACCGCUUUCAGCGGGGAACACUUAAACGAGGGUACCCGCAGAAGAAGCCCCGGCUAAAUACGUGCCAGCAGCCGCGGUAAUACGUAUGGGGCGAGCGUUAUCCGGAUUCAUUGGGCGUAAAGCGCGCGUAGGCGGAGCGCUAAGCGGGACCUCUAACCCGAGGGCUCAACCCCCGGCCGGGUCCCGAACUGGCGCUCUCGAGUGCGGUAGGGGAGAGCGGAAUUCCCGGUGUAGCGGUGGAAUGCGCAGAUAUCGGGAAGAACACCGACGGCGAAGGCAGCUCUCUGGGCCGAAACUGACGCUGAGGCGCGAAAGCUGGGGGAGCGAACAGGAUUAGAUACCCUGGUAGUCCCAGCCGUAAACGAUGGGCGCUAGGUGUGGGGGAUGAGAUCCCCCGUGCCGCAGCCAACGCAUUAAGCGCCCCGCCUGGGGAGUACGGCCGCAAGGCUAAAACUCAAAGGAAUUGACGGGGGCCCGCACAAGCGGUGGAGUAUGUGGUUUAAUUCGACGCAACGCGAAGAACCUUACCAAGUCUUGACAUCCUUCUGACCGGUACUUAACCGUACCUUCUCUUCGGAGCAGGAGUGACAGGUGGUGCAUGGUUGUCGUCAGCUCGUGUCGUGAGAUGUUGGGUUAAGUCCCGCAACGAGCGCAACCCCUGCCCCGUGUUGCCAGCAUUCAGUUGGGGACUCGCGGGGGACUGCCGGCGUCAAGCCGGAGGAAGGUGGGGACGACGUCAAGUCAUCAUGCCCCUUAUGCCCUGGGCCGCACACGUGCUACAAUGGCCGGUACAGAGGGUUGCGACCCCGCGAGGGGGAGCGGAUCCCGCAAAGCCGGCCCCAGUUCGGAUCGGAGGCUGCAACCCGCCUCCGUGAAGCCGGAGUUGCUAGUAAUCGCGGAUCAGCACGCCGCGGUGAAUACGUUCCCGGGCCUUGUACACACCGCCCGUCACACCACCCGAGUCGUCUGCACCCGAAGCCGCCGGCCGAACCCUUUUCAGGGGCGGAGGCGUCGAAGGUGUGGAGGGUGAGGGGGGUG
rnacentral:rRNA from 1 species